AGUGGCGGACGGGUGAGUAACGCGUGGGUAACCUGCCUCAUACAGGGGGAUAACAGUUGGAAACGACUGCUAAUACCGCAUAAGCACACAGUACCGCAUGGUACGGUGUGAAAAACUCCGGUGGUAUGAGAUGGACCCGCGUCUGAUUAGCCAGUUGGCGGGGUAACGGCCCACCAAAGCGACGAUCAGUAGCCGACCUGAGAGGGUGACCGGCCACAUUGGGACUGAGACACGGCCCAAACUCCUACGGGAGGCAGCAG
rnacentral:rRNA from 1 species